AAGCACCGGCCAACUACGUGCCAUCAGCCGCGGUAAUACGUAGGGUGCAAGCGUUGUCCGGAAUUAUUGGGCGUAAAGAGCUCGUAGGCGGUUUGUCGCGUCUGCUGUGAAAACCCGAGGCUCAACCUCGGGCCUGCAGUGGGUACGGGCAGACUAGAGUGCGGUAGGGGAGAAUGGAAUUCCUGGUGUAGCGGUGGAAUGCGCAGAUAUCAGGAGGAACACCGGUGGCGAAGGCGGGUCUCUGGGCAGUAACUGACGCUGAGGAGCGAAAGCGUGGGGAGCGAACAGGAUUAGAUACCCUGGUAG
rnacentral:rRNA from 1 species